rnacentral:rRNA from 1 species
UAGGGAAUCUUCCACAAUGGACGCAAGUCUGAUGGAGCAACGCCGCGUGAGUGAAGAAGGCUUUCGGGUCGUAAAACUCUGUUAUUGAAGAAGAACGUGCGUGACAGUAACUGGUCAUGCAGUGACGGUAUUCAAUCAGAAAGUCACGGCUAACUACGUGCCAGCAGCCGCGGUAAUACGUAGGUGGCAAGCGUUGUCCGGAUUUAUUGGGCGUAAAGCGAGUGCAGGCGGUCUUUUAAGUCUGAUGUGAAAGCCUUCGGCUUAACCGAAGAAGGGCAUCGGAAACUGGGAGACUUGAGUGCAGAAGAGGAGA